rnacentral:rRNA from 1 species
GAUGAACGCUAGCGGCAGGCCUAAUACAUGCAAGUCGGACGGGAUUUAGGAGCUUGCUCCUAAUGAGAGUGGCGCACGGGUGCGUAACACGUAUGUAACCUACCUCGUUCAGGGGGAUAGCCUCUCGAAAGAGAGAUUAAGACCGCAUAACGUUAUUGAAUGGCAUCGUUUAAUAACCAAAUAUUUAUAGGAACAAGAUGGGCAUGCGGAACAUUAGCUAGUUGGUAGGGUAACGGCCUACCAAGGCUACGAUGUUUAGGGGAUAUGAGAGGAUGACCCCCCACACUGGUACUGAGACACGGACCAGACUCCUACGGGAGGCAGUAGUAAGGAAUAUUGGUCAAUGGGCGGAAGCCCGAACCAGCCAUGCCGCGUGCAGGAAGACGGCCCUACGGGUUGUAAACUGCUUUUAUACGGGAAUAAACCUUGAUACGUGUAUCAAGCUGAAUGUACUGUAAGAAUAAGGAUCGGCUAACUCCGUGCCAGCAGCCGCAGUAA